UGAAAAUGCCCUUUAAACCACUUUUUGGUAUCAAGGAGCUGGUAUCAAGCACACUACACAGUAGCUCAUAACACCUUGCACAGCCACACCCCUACGGGAAACAGCAGUAACAAAAAUUAAGCAAUAAACGAAAGUUCGACUAAGUUAUGCUAAUUAGGGCUGGUCAACUUCGUGCCAGCCACCGCGGUCAUACGAACAGCCCAAAUUAAUAGAACCCGGCGUAAAGAGUGGUUAUGAUAUUCAUAUACUAAAGUUAAAUUUAACCUUAGCUGUAAAAAGCUAAAGGUCUAAAAUUAAAUACUCUACGAAAGUGACUUUAACAAAUCAGAAUCCACGAUAGCUAAGAUACAAACUGGGAUUAGAUACCCCACUAUGCCUAGCCUUAAACCUAGUUAAUUAGUAACAAAAUUACUCGCCAGAGAACUACGAGCAAAAGCUUAAAACUCAAAGGACUUGGCGGUGCUUUAUAUCCACCUAGAGGAGCCUGUUGUAUAAUCGAUAAACCCCGCUAAACCCUACCAUCAUUUGCUAAUCCAGUCUAUAUACCGCCAUCUUCAGCAAACCCUUAAAAGGAAUCAAAGUAAGCUUAAUUAUACUUAAUAAAAACGUUAGGUCAAGGUGUAACUUAUAUGAUGGAAACUAAUGGGCUACAUUCUCUUUAAAAGAGUACUACGAACACCCUUAUGAAAAGUA
rnacentral:rRNA from 1 species